CCCAUUAAAGAAGUCUCCGAGCACCCCCUCCGUAGCCCCGUUGCUACAAAACCCGACCUGGGCUUCGUUCCCCCGCCAUCUGCGGCCCCCGGGAGGUGCGAGGCUGCCGGCGUUGCUAUGGGCAGCACAGGUGAGAGGAGCCGACGGACCCUGAGGAAGUAACUUCUCGUCGGCUGUCGGCAGACGAGGGAACUGAAGUCCAGAGAAGUGACGUGACUCGCCC